ACAUGCAGUCGAACGGUGAAGAGGAGCUUGCUUCUUAGAUCAGUGGCGAACGGGUGAGUAACACGUGAGUAACCUGCCCUUGACUCUGGGAUAACUGCUAGAAAUGGUAGCUAAUACCGGAUACGACCCUCGGCCGCAUGGUCAGGGGGUGGAAAGAAUUUUGGUCAAGGAUGGACUCGCGGCCUAUCAGGUAGUUGGUGAGGUAAUGGCUCACCAAGCCUACGACGGGUAGCCGGCCUGAGAGGGUGACCGGCCACACUGGGACUGAGACACGGCCCAGACUCCUACGGGAGGCAGCAGUGGGGAAUAUUGCACAAUGGGCGAAAGCCUGAUGCAGCAACGCCGCGUGAGGGACGACGGCCUUCGGGUUGUAAACCUCUUUUAGUAGGGAAGAAGCGAAAGUGACGGUACCUGCAGAAAAAGCACCGGCUAACUACGUGCCAGCAGCCGCGGUAAUACGUAGGGUGCAAGCGUUGUCCGGAAUUAUUGGGCGUAAAGAGCUCGUAGGCGGUUUGUCGCGUCUGCUGUGAAAUCCGGAGGCUCAACCUCCGGCCUGCAGUGGGUACGGGCAGACUAGAGUGCGGUAGGGGAGAUUGGAAUUCCUGGUGUAGCGGUGGAAUGCGCAGAUAUCAGGAGGAACACCAAUGGCGAAGGCAGAUCUCUGGGCCGUAACUGACGCUGAGGAGCGAAAGCAUGGGGAGCGAACAGGAUUACAUACCCUGGUAGUCCAUGCCGUAAACGUUGGGAACUAGAUGUGGGGGCCAUUCCACGGUCUCCGUGUCGCAGCUAACGCAUUAA
rnacentral:rRNA from 1 species